GGGUUGUGAGGUUAAGCGACUAAGCGUACACGGUGGAUGCCCUGGCAGUCAGAGGCGAUGAAGGGCGUGCUAAUCUGCGAUAAGCGCCGGUAAGGUGAUAUGAACCGUUAUAACCGGCGAUACCCGAAUGGGGAAACCCAGUGUGACUCGUCACACUAUCAUUAACUGAAUCCAUAGGUUAAUGAGGCGAACCGGGGGAACUGAAACAUCUAAGUACCCCGAGGAAAAGAAAUCAACCGAGAUUCCCCCAGUAGCGGCGAGCGAACGGGGAGGAGCCCAGAGCCUGAAUCAGCAUGUGUGUUAGUGGAAGCGUCUGGAAAGGCGCGCGAUACAGGGUGACAGCCCCGUACACAAAAGCGCAUGUGCUGUGAGCUCGAUGAGUAGGGCGGGACACGUGGUAUCCUGUCUGAAUAUGGGGGGACCAUCCUCCAAGGCUAAAUACUCCUGACUGACCGAUAGUGAACCAGUACCGUGAGGGAAAGGCGAAAAGAACCCCGGCGAGGGGAGUGAAAAAGAACCUGAAACCGUGUACGUACAAGCAGUGGGAGCCCCACCACCAAAGCAUUUGCUGUACCGCGUUGACGGAGCGAAGCGACGUCAAACCGAUAAAACAGCAGUGUAAAGUGAGCCGCAGGGCGCUUUGCGCGACAGCGCAAAGGCAGGCGGUUUCGCGUAGCGAAAGCGAAUGCUUUGGGGUGGGGUGACUGCGUACCUUUUGUAUAAUGGGUCAGCGACUUAUAUUCUGUAGCAAGGUUAACCGAAUAGGGGAGCCGGAGGGAAACCGAGUCUUAAUUGGGCGUUAAGUUGCAGGGUAUAGACCCGAAACCCGGUGAUCUAGCCAUGGGCAGGUUGAAGGUUGGGUAACACUAACUGGAGGACCGAACCGACUAAUGUUGAAAAAUUAGCGGAUGACCUGUGGCUGGGGGUGAAAGGCCAAUCAAACCGGGAGAUAGCUGGUUCUCCCCGAAAGCUAUUUAGGUAGCGCCUCGUGAAUUCAUCUCCGGGGGUAGAGCACUGUUUCGGCUAGGGGGCCAUCCCGGCUUACCAACCCGAUGCAAACUGCGAAUACCGGAGAAUGUUAUCACGGGAGACACACGGCGGGUGCUAACGUCCGUCGUGAAGAGGGAAACAACCCAGACCGCCAGCUAAGGUCCCAAAGUCAUGGUUAAGUGGGAAACGAUGUGGGAAGGCCCAGACAGCCAGGAUGUUGGCUUAGAAGCAGCCAUCAUUUAAAGAAAGCGUAAUAGCUCACUGGUCGAGUCGGCCUGCGCGGAAGAUGUAACGGGGCUAAACCAUGCACCGAAGCUGCGGCAGCGACACUGUGUGUUGUUGGGUAGGGGAGCGUUCUGUAAGCCUGUGAAGGUGUGUCGUGAGGCAUGCUGGAGGUAUCAGAAGUGCGAAUGCUGACAUAAGUAACGAUAAAGCGGGUGAAAAGCCCGCUCGCCGGAAGACCAAGGGUUCCUGUCCAACGUUAAUCGGGGCAGGGUGAGUCGACCCCUAAGGCGAGGCCGAAAGGCGUAGUCGAUGGGAAACGGGUUAAUAUUCCCGUACUUGGUGUUACUGCGAAGGGGGGACGGAGAAGGCUAUGUUGGCCGGG
rnacentral:rRNA from 3 species